CGCGCAGGCGGCCUGUUAAGUCGGAUGUGAAAGCCCCGGGCUCAACCUGGGAAUGGCAUUCGAUACUGGCGGGCUGGAGUCCGGUAGAGGGGGGUGGAAUUCCAGGUGUAGCGGUGAAAUGCGUAGAUAUCUGAAGGAACACCGGUGGCGAAGGCGGCCCCCUGGACCGAGACUGACGCUGAGGCGCGAAAGCGUGGGGAGCAAACA
rnacentral:rRNA from 1 species